AUUCUCCAGUCAAAGUCUCUGUUCCAUUUCUCUUGUGAGAAUAGAGAAAGCCACCCGAGGCUUGAUUUUCCUCUUAUUUCCUUCAAGUCACAUUUUC